CCCUCCUCUCGAUCCACCCCCUUUCGCUGUGUUUUCUCUUUCCCUCGUAUCCCACUCCGCCGCCUCCCGCCUUCCUCCGCCGCCGCCGCCCCUCACCCUGCCUGCCUGCCUUGGUUUUUGGGCAUCCCACUCCUCCGCUGCCAUAUGCCGCCUCCACCAAGAUCCGAGGCCCCCCACUUGUGGGCCGCCGCCGCCGCCACAGAACCUCGGGGAAGGGCGGGGCAGGGCGCAGUCUUCCUCUUCCGCCGCCAUCUGUUCCCCCUCCGCUCCCAUCUGCCGCCGCCGCGGAAACGUGGGACGCCGCUGUCGCUGCCGCUGAAUCCAAGGGACGUCGCCGCCGUCGCGGAUCGGCAGGACGCCGCCGUCGCAAAUCGGCGGGACGCCGCCACCGCUAUCGCCUCGGAUCACCAGGAUGCCGCCGUCGCAGAUCACCAGGUCGCCGCCGUCGGCUCCGAUCUCACACGCCGCCGGCGUGGCCGUGACGACUGAUGAGCACGCUCAGCCCCCAUUCCUGCCACAGGGGAAGCUAGAGGCAGAGAACCGUCGGUCUUGCAUAUGUCAGUGACGGUCGCUGAUCAGGUUGUUGCGCGCGAAUGACAACAAUUGGUUCAUAACGAACCAAUAGUAGGACAUGCCGUUCGACCUUCUUAUAGAAGUGAACAAUCAUUUCUAGAGCAUUAUAUUAGCUGGACUUUUUAUGAGGUAUGAGCAAGUUGAGAGUUCCGAGUGGGUAUAUUUUCUGAGUUCCUAAAUAUGAUCAGUGGGCUGGCGCCGAAGUCCAUCUUGACAGGUAGGUAGAUUGAGAUAAUUUGUAUGUCUCAAGGUUGUUAUCUGGUUCAUUAGUGUGCUGAGGCUCUGUAGAUCAAAACAGAGCCAUGAAGGUUGCUAUGAGCAAACUAUGUCCAGGGAAGGUCAUGGCUAAGGAAACGGGACUGGCGGAUUUCCCCCUCGUCGUGGACAAGACGUCAUGACACAGUUGUGAUGAGGUGUGGCGCAAGCGUGGCUGUAGGAUCCCUCCUAUGAAGCCAGGCAAUGACAUCAUCGGAUCCUCACUGGUAUGCAGAGCUGUCGCGUGGAUCCGACAGGUGGCAGGGACGUGUGACUAAUCAGGUACAUGGCCUUGGUUCCACAUUUAAUGUUACCAAGUUCUUAAUCUGUCAUAUUGCUUCUACCGUUCAGAUAUCUGAUGCCAUUACAGAUGGUGCUGAAGGAUCUUGUAGUAUGCAAGUAUGGAGCAAUUUAUAAAAUGGCUUGCAUGAUGUCACUUGUCAUCCUUGGCAUCUUAUCUCUUUCGCACUACUACCUGCAGCUGGAGGCAUCAUGCCAAGGAAGGUGAUUCCGUACUGUUUUUCUGAAACCUCGGCUGUACUCGUGAUUUCUUGUCUCAUUAAUCUCACGGCUACACAGGACAACUUCUGAAUAUAUUACAGUUAAUGCCUUUCUUCUUGGAGCUUUUGUAUACUAGACUAGCAUGAUUUGUUGGGAUGUGGAUUGCGGUAUGUGCAAAUUUUAGAUUCAAGUGCUGCUUGGGGGUCUGCAACGAAAGCGUUGCAGGUUUUAUUUGUUAUCUAUGGUGUUUGUCUUUCAUGCGUUUCCCCCUUCUUCGAUUUGAAAUAGUGAAUAAUUUACCAAAACAGUUUGGUGUUUGUGCAGCUGAUUUCUCAGCCAUGGCAUGGCUGUAUUUAGUGUGGCACUACUUUAUGCAACAUUUUAUGUUUGUCUUGGAGUAUAGAUUCACCUGAUUCAAUGAAGGUUACGGACAGUAAGUAACUUGCAAGCAUGAAUUUUUUCCACCAUUAAAUCUACUCCUUUUUUCCUAUGUUUACAUGCCCCCACAUAUUUACGGGUUCAACUUUUGACCAACUAAUCCUGGGUUAGUUCAUAAAAAUUAUACCAUUGAAUUUCUAUUAUAAAAUAGUUUCCAGCAGUAUAUAUAUUUUCUGACAUGUGAAUCAUCUAUUAUUGGUCAAUGUUCAAACACAAAACCUGAGGGCGCCAUGUAAAUAGAGACGGAGGUAGUAGUUAUUAGUUUUCACAAUGUAUACAUUUUUAAACUAUCAGUUUCUUUUAAGAAUUGAUGCGUACGCGUUCAAUUGAUGUCGCGAAUUCAACAAGUGCUUUGAUGUCUCUGUCUACAAGUUUGUGAGUUAGAUUGGUUCAGUAAAUGGCUUAAACUGUUGGAGGAGUCUGUGGUUGUGAUGGUACGUUCAUACGUUGUUGUUGGUAUCGUUCGCUUCCUCCCCCGCAGUGCUCCAUCGUCGAUGGAAGGAUCUCCUCGCCGAUUUUUUCCAAACAAACCGCACCCCGUCUGUUUGUUUCCAUUCAAAUUUCACUCCCAUGACAUGACAACCGAUCCCUCCCCAUCCUACUCUUUCCUUGCAAAAGCAUAACAGAAUCGAAACUUGCCUUGCCUUGACCGACACAUUCCCAGCGGAUUUCACAAAUCAAUCUUCAUCCAGUCCACCGCAGUUCCCGCUGAUCCCCUUUCAUCAUCCCCGCCGCCCCGCCUUCCAAUUAGCCAUCUUUCAUUGCAAUCAUCGAGCCCUACCAUGCAAGCAGUCCUACGAGGCUACGACUGUCGUGGUGCUGGUGGCCUCCAGCGCGCUCGCCGGGGCCAGGGGUGGACUAAGUUUCGGUGCUGUCUCUGGUGGAGACGACGGGAUGCGGCUGCACGAGAAGAACCUGCAGAAGAAGAUGCCGGUGUGGACAGAGAGGCGGACGCAGCAGGAGGCGUGUGUGGCGCAAGCGCGGGCUUAACUUGCGGGCGCGGAUUAGGGAAGAGGCCAUCUCGGUGGCGGCUUGUGACCUGGGGGACGCGCUAGCACGCGAGCCCGGUGACCAUCAUGUGUGCGUUCUGGACGUACCAUGUGGUGUAUGCCACAAUGCCAUGUGGGUUGGGCCUGCAUGAAAUGCUGAUCUGUAGCAGAUCCUCCAUCGCCUCAUCACUGGCUGCUCAAGGGCAGCAUCACACACCAAGGCCUGUGACAACAUCUUCAUGCCCAACUCUCACUCCACAUGGGAACGACACUGCUCUAUUGCUUGCUUAUUUAAGAUCAUGGCAAUCAUUUUAUCUAGCCUAUGUGUUUCUAAUUUUCUCCCCUUAUUGUUGCAGGUUAGAGUGCAGCUUUCAGACACUUCUUUCUUUGGGAUAGUUGGAAUACUAUGACUAAAUAUAGAAGAGGCUCAAAUGGUAAUGCUAUCAGUGUUUGCCCCUUCCGUGAUUUAUGCGUAGCAUGUAGACUAUCAGCGACAAUUUGAGCCUCUUUGUGAAGUAGUUUUGUAGGGUAUUGCUUCAAGUCAAGAAAAUAGCUUCCAAAGAUAGUUUAACCGAAGAGCUUCUGAUCUCUACAUGUGAAUGGUAAACUGCCAAUUUUGUACUUUACUAUUCUAUAUCAAGAAAAUAAAUAAUUGCAUCAUGGUAUUAGUGGCUUAAUUAUUUUUAUGUGCAUUGAACUAUAUAUUUUGAAGCACUUAAUAGUAUCUUUCAUGGAGGAUCUAGGACUCCUGCCAAUUUAUUGUACGGAGUUGUUCUUUGCUAAAAAAAACUUUGCUCAAUUGCGCUUUGCCUCUCAGUGUUAUCAUUAGUUAAUGGCCUAAACUGUUGACAACUUAUCAAAAAAGAAUAAUCAUAUGCAGAUGCAGAAGCAUAUUAGUCAUGCAGAAAUAAUCAUAUGCUGAAGGAAGGACUUGGAACUGUAACUAAAAACAAAAUGGCGCCCACCGACUGUGUGUAUGCCUGUUACCUACGGCGUCGUUGUUUCUUCCCUCGGUCGGGCGUGGUCCACCAGCCACUACCUGUAGGCAAUAGCAUUAGGCCGGCAACUAUCGCGGAUCAAGGGUACAAAUCAACCAGACUAGGAGAGGGGGUGGUGGUCUACGUAGUGGCAGGGAGAGGAAGCGAUGGCUGACACCAAGGCUGGGAGAGGAGCCGGCAGAUGACUCUAUGGCGGGACAAGAGGAGCAGUGGCAGGGAGAGAAAGCGGGACUAUGCCAUGUGAGUUGCUGAAGUUGUGCCUUGUGAGGUGGGGAUAAGGGAUGUGUGUUGUGCAUGUGUAGUGAGAGGCGUGGAGUAGCUUUUCCUUUUUGAGGGAGGCUGUUUAUUUGUCUAGAACAGAUUAGCUUCUUUUCCUUUCUCCCUUGUGAACUGAGAGGAGUGGUUAUUAUGCCACGAGAGAAGUGUCAGAUAUUCUAGAAAUAGCAAAAAAUGUUCUAAAGAUAAUAGCCAAACAAGUGAUCUAGAGAAUGUCCUAUGUUGCUACAAAGCAGGAUGUGACUCACUCCACACAUGCAUACCAUGUAUAUAUUUUGGACUCACUCUACAUCACAUUUGGUAGAGAAUAAAGCUAUGAGA